AUUGAACGCUGGCGGCAGGCUUAACACAUGCAAGUCGAGCGAGCGGCGGACGGGUGAGUAAUGUCUGGGAAACUGCCUGAUGGAGGGGGAUAACUACUGGAAACGGUAGCUAAUACCGCAUACCAUCAGAUGUGCCCAGAAGGGAUUAGCUAGUAGGGGGGGUAAUAGCUCACCUAGGCGACGAUCCCUAGCUGGUCUGAGAGGAGGACGAGCCACACUGAGACUGUGACACGUUCCAGACUCCUACAGGAUGCAGUAGUGGGGAAUAUGGCAAAAUGGGCGCAAGCCUAAUGCAGCCAUGCCGCGUGUGUGAGGAAGGCCUGCAGGUUGUAAAGCACUUUCAGCGAGGAGGCGUUACUCGCAGAAGAAGCACCGGCUAACUCCGUGCCAGCAGCCGCGGUAAUAC
rnacentral:rRNA from 1 species